rnacentral:rRNA from 1 species
CCUANGGGGGGCAGCAGUGGGGAAUAUUGGACAAUGGGCGCAAGCCUGAUCCAGCAAUACCGCGUGUGUGAAGAAGGCCCUAGGGUUGUAAAGCACUUUCAAUGGGGAGGAAAACAGUCAGAUUAAUACCCUGGCUCUUGACAUUACCUUUAGAAGAAGCACCGGCUAACUCCGUGCCAGCAGCCGCGGUAAUACGGAGGGUGCGAGCGUUAAUCGGAAUUACUGGGCGUAAAGCGUGCGUAGGCGGUUCGUUAAGUCAGAUGUGAAAGCCCCGGGCUUAACCUGGGAACUGCAUUUGAAACUGGCGAACUAGAGUUUAAUAGAGGGGAGUGGAAUUUCAGGUGUAGCGGUGAAAUGCGUAGAUAGCUGAAGGAACACCAGUGGCGAAGGCGACUCCCUGGAUUAAAACUGACGCUGAGGUACGAAAGCGUGGGUAGCAAACAGGAUUAGAUACCCCANUANUC